rnacentral:rRNA from 1 species
GACGAACGCUGGCGGCGUGCUUAACACAUGCAAGUCGAACGGAAAGGCCCUGCUUUUGUGGGGUGCUCGAGUGGCGAACGGGUGAGUAACACGUGAGUAACCUGCCCUUGACUUUGGGAUAACUUCAGGAAACUGGGGCUCAUACCGGAUAGAAUCUCCUGCUGCAUGGUGGGGGUUGGAAAGUUUCGGCGGUAGGGGAUGGACUCGCAGCUUAUCCGCUUGUUGGUGGGGUAGUGGCUUACCAAGCUUUUGACGGGUAGCCGGCCUGAGAGGGGUACCGGCCACAUGAGGACUGCGAUACGGCCCAGACUCCUACGGGAGGCAGCAGUGGGGAGUAUGGCACAAUGGGCGGAAGCCUGAGGCGGCAGCGCCGCGUGCGGGAUGACGGCCUACGGGUGGUAAACCGCUUUGGCCGGUGACGAAGCGUGAGUGACGGUAAUGGGUAAAGAAGCACCGGCUAACUACGUG